rnacentral:lncRNA from 1 species
CAAAAAUCACAUCAUACCUAUGAGCGUACAUCUGUGUUUGUUUCAUGUUUUCAUCUUCUUUUUUUCUCCACAGAUUUUCUUCAUCUCAACUCACCUCACCACUACAGGUCCAAGCCUGACACAGAGCCUAACAGAAAUACUUUCCUCCAAAUACAAUCCUGUUCACCAUGGAAGACAUUAAAACCUUCAGUGGUUGCUGCUGGGGGCCUUCACCAAAAUGCAGCCAUUCACCUUGCUGCUGGGGGCCUUCACCAAAAUGCAGCCAUUCACCUUUGCUUUUGCUCUACCUACAAAAAAUGUUCAUUGGCUCACUCCCGAAGUCAACUUUGAUCCAAAGAUAGUCUUCAGUUACCAAACCUUAUCACACAUCUG